UACAGAGGGUGCAAGCGUUAAUCGGAAUUACUGGGCGUAAAGCGCACGCAGGCGGUUGGUUAAGUCAGAUGUGAAAGCCCCGGGCUCAACCUGGGAAUUGCAUUUGAAACUGGGGAACUAGAGUGUGUGAGAGGGGGGUAGAAUUCCAAGUGUAGCGGUGAAAUGCGUAGAGAUUUGGAGGAAUACCAGUGGCGAAGGCGGCCCCCUGGCACAACACUGACGCUCAGGUGCGAAAGCGUGGGGAGCAAACAGG
rnacentral:rRNA from 1 species